UACGUAGGCAGCAAGCGUUGUUCGGAAUUACUGGGCGUAAAGCGUGUGUAGGCGGUUCGCCAAGUUUGGUGUGAAAUCUCCCGGCUUAACUGGGAGGGUGCGCCGAAAACUGGCGGGCUUGAGGGUGGGAGAGGUAAGCGGAAUUUCUGGUGUAGCGGUGAAAUGCGUAGAUAUCAGAAGGAACACCUGUGGUGUAGACAGCUUACUGGACCACUUCUGACGCUGAGACACGAAAGCGUGGGUAGCAAACAGG
rnacentral:rRNA from 1 species